UCAGGUGCCUAUAUCGGCGGUGUCCACCUCUUCCCAUUCCGAACAGAGAAGUUAAGCCCGCCAGAGCCAAUGGUACUGCCGUAACAGGUGGGAGAGUAGGUCGGUGCCCAAU
rfam:Pedobacter luteus strain DSM 22385 genome assembly, contig: LY14DRAFT_scaffold00004.4